rnacentral:rRNA from 1 species
AACUUUCAACAACGAAUCUCUUGGUUCCGGCAUCGAUGAAGAACGCAGCGAAAUGCGAUAAGUAUGUGAU